rnacentral:rRNA from 1 species
GGCCCUACGGGAGGCUGCAGUGGGGAAUAUUGCACAAUGGGGGAAACCCUGAUGCAGCCAUGCCGCGUGUGUGAAGAAGGCCUUCGGGUUGUAAAGCACUUUCAGCGAGGAGGAAAGGUCAGUAGCUAAUAUCUGCUGGCUGUGACGUUACUCGCAGAAGCAGCACCGGCUAACUCCGUGCCAGCAGCCGCGGUAAUACGGAGGGUGCAAGCGUUAAUCGGAAUUACUGGGCGUAAAGCGCACGCAGGCGGUUGGAUAAGUUAGAGGGGAAAGCCCCGGGCUCAACCUGGGAAUUGCAUUUAAAACUGUCCAGCUAGAGUCUUGUAGAGGGGGGUAGAAUUCCAGGUGGAGCGGUGAAAUGCGUAGAGAUCUGGAGGAAUACCGGUGGCGAAGGCGGCCCCCUGGACAAAGACUGACGCUCAGGUGCGAAAGCGUGGGGAGCAAACAGGAUUAGAUACCCUUGUAGUC